rnacentral:misc_RNA from 1 species
UUCUACUGGCGGUUGACCGCAGAACAGAACCUGAUGUUCUUUGCACGUCUUCACGGCCUCAGUGAUCGCAUUGCAAAGCAGCGCAUCCAGGAACUGUUUGCGAAACUCGAACUGGAGGAAGUUGCACGCCGACGGUUUGGCGAGAUGUCAACCGGAAACAAGCAGCGGUUAGCGGUAGCGCGCGCGAUGUUAUCGAGUCCGCCUGUGCUCUUACUCGACGAACCGACUCGUUCGCUCGAUCCGCUCGCCGCAGCGCGCAUGCGCGAACUGAUUCGAUCGCUGGCGCAGCAAGAGCCGCCUGUAACAAUACUGCUUACGUC